GAGAAAAGUGUCUCCACUUAGUUUUAUGUUUGGGCGCUUUACACAGAGCGUGAGCAAAAAGCUUUUACACAUUCGAAAGCUUCCAGCCAGUUAGUCAAUUCUGUAUAUUUUGACAUGGGGAUGCCCAUGCAUUUUGGAAAUUACGCUGCAAAAGUAGAGUUGGAAGGAAUUUCUUCAAAAAAAUAAAAUCUUAUCAACAUUUAACUUUUUAUUCAUAUCGUUCAAGUUGCAGUUCCUUGGGGCCGAUCGUUGCCGAAGAUAAUCAUCUUUAAGGGGUUAUUUCUAAGCCGGCUCGGUUCUGUUCUGGAGCUCGUCAGUCUCCAGCUUUCGGUACGGAUUUGCUUCCGUUCGAUGCAGCCACCUGUGUAUGAUAGUUAAAAAAGAAGUAUGUAGUAUACAUGGAAAAAGGAUUGAAAUUGUAAUAUUUUUCAUAACAAAGUAAUCAGUUAUGUAAUCAAAUUCAAAAUUGUUAAAUUAUGUUUAAAACAAAUCUAAGAUAGAUUAACUCGAAAUUAAAUUAAACACUGAUCUCAAAACCUUAACCAUAGAGGGUGCUGAACUGAAAACCAAAAACUAAGAUUUUCAACCAAAUAGGAAACAUCAUGCACAGAGCAGGAUUAGAAUGAAUUAAUUCAUGUAAAAAUAUAUCAAAUAAAACAAACCUGUUUCAUCA